rnacentral:rRNA from 1 species
AACAGCCAGCCAUAUCACCCUGUAGCCCAAGACUGGUUGCCCACUGAAGCUAAGCAGGGUUGAGCCUGGUCAGUACCUGGAUGGGAGACCUCCUGGUAAAACUUAGGUUGCUGCUGGAA